AUUGAACGCUAGCGGGAUGCCUUACACAUGCAAGUCGAACGGAGUGGCGAAAGGGGGAGUAAUGUACCGGAACGUGCCCAGUAGCGGGGGAUAAUUACGAGAAAGCGUAGCUAAAACUGCAUACUAUUGGCGCGGGAGAUACCGGAUUAGCGAGUUGGUGGGGUAACGGUUCACCAAGGCGACGAUCCGUAGCCGGUUUGAGGGGACGACCAGCCACACUGGAACUGAGACACGGCCCAGACUCCUACGGGAGGCAGCAGUGGGGAAUUUUGCACAAUGGGGGCAACCCUGAUCCAGCCAUCCCGCGUGUGCGAUGAAGGCCUUCGGGUUGUAAAGCACAUUUAGCAGGAAAGCGGUACCUGCAGAAUAAGCACCGGCUAACUACGUGCCAGCAGCCGCGGUAAUAC
rnacentral:rRNA from 1 species